rnacentral:misc_RNA from 1 species
GAUGAAGAACGCAGCGAAAUGCGAUACGUAAUGUGAAUUGCAGAAUUCAGUGAAUCAUCGAAUCUUUGAACGCAUAUUGCGCUCUCUGGUAUUCCGGAGAGCAUGCUUGUUUGAGUAUCAGUAAACACCUCAACUUCCAUAUCUUUUUUGAAAUGGGAGUUGGACUUGAGUGAUCCCAACGCUUUUCCUCACCGAAAAGUGGCGGGUUACUUGAAAUGCAGGUGCAGCUGGACUUUUCUCUGAGCUAUAAGCAUAUCUAUUUAGUCUGCCUAAAAAACAGGUUAUUACCUUUGCUGCAGCUAACAUAAAGGAGAUUAGUUCUUGUGCUGACUGAUGCAGGAUUCACAAAGACAGGCUUCGGCCGACUUUGUAAACUCGAUCUCAGAUCAAGUAAGACUACCCGCUGAACUUAAGCAUAUCAAUAAGCGGAGGA